rnacentral:lncRNA from 1 species
CCGCCCAGGUCGCUGGCCUUUUCUGGGUGCAGAUAGGCCGGGUCUCCUUGCUCGGUGAGGAGUUGGGUGGAAACCACGGCGUCCUGGAGAACAGAAAGGGCAGCUGCCAGCGAUGGUAACAGUACCCGCGAACACCUUGGGAGCGGCUGACACUCCGCCAGGGCCUGUCCCAAGCCUUUCAAAGAGAUUAACUCUGCAGGAGGAGACGAAAGUCACGUCUCGCUGCUUUCCAGAAGCGCUCCAACACUUGUUCCUCAUUGUCUCAUGGGAUGUGAUAAAUUGGGGCACACUUCCUGCUUGGCUAUGGGUCGGAGUUUCGCAGAUGGACCGCCUAAGGACUCAGAGUUUCUGGGUGCUGGAGAGGGCUGCCCAGGAUAUCAGUGGUUCUGGAACAUUUCCAGGUUCCCCACAAUUCUCCAACUUCGGUGUUCUUUAGCCAGUUUUCCAAGCAAGCACUCCUUUAUCUUUCACAAGUUUUUUUUUUUUUU